rnacentral:rRNA from 1 species
GCUUGUCUCAAAGAUUAAGCCAUGCAUGUCUCAGUAUAAGCUUCUAUACGGCGAAACUGCGAAUGGCUCAUUAAAACAGUUAUAGUUUAUUUGGUGGUCAACUCUUACAUGGAUAACCGUGGUAAUUCUAGAGCUAAUACAUGCGCCCAAACCCAACUUCUUGGAAGGGUUGUGUUUAUUAGAUACAGAACCAACCCAGGCUCCGCCUGGCCUUGAGGUGAUUCAUAAUAACUCCUCGAAUCGCAUGGCCUUGCGCCGGCGAUGUUUCAUUCAAAUUUCUGCCCUAUCAAUUUGAUGGUAGGAUAGAGGCCUACCAUGGUGGUAACGGGUGACGGAGAAUUAGGGUUCGAUUCCGGAGAGGGAGCCUGAGAAACGGCUACCACAUCCAAGGAAGGCAGCAGG